rnacentral:rRNA from 1 species
AACGCGAAGAACCUUACAGCCCUGACAUCCCGUCGCGGUUUCCAGAGAUGGAUUCCUUCAGUUCGGCUGGACCGGAGACAGGUGUUGCAUGGCUGUCGUCAGCUCGUGUCGUGAGAUGUUGGGUUAAGUCCCGCAACGAGCGCAACCCUCGCUGUUAGUUGCCAGCAUUUAGUUGGCACUCUAACGGGACCGCCGGUGAUAAGCCGGAGGAAGGUGGGGAUGACAUCAAGUCAUCAUGGCCCUUACGGGCUGGGCUACACACGUGCUACAAUGGCAUCCAUAAUGGGUAAUCCCCAAAAGAUGUCUCAGGUGUCUUCUGCAACUCGAAGGCAUGAAGUCGGAAUCGCUAGUAA